UUACUGUAGGAAGGAAUCGUUGAGAAUCUUUUCAAAUGGGCCCGAGAGGCUGAUCAGCCUUUGAGGACAUAUUCUACUGGACUGUUAGGAGGUGCUAUGGAAAAUCAAGAUAUUGCUGCCAACUAUAGGGAUGAAAAUUCACAGCUGGUAAGCACCAUCUUAGAAUGAAUUGUAGCAUGCUAUGGGAGAGUAUUCCUAAAUUUAUUCUUGCUAUCUGAAUCUGAAUAAGUGAUUAUUUAUACCUUGUACUGCAGCAUAGUUAUAUCAAUAUUUCUUUCUCUUUUUAAAAAACAAAAAUUUUGGAUCCUGAAGGUUCUUUGCCACCCAGCUUCGUCUAUUUUGUUUUUGUUUUUUCCCUUUAAUGUUUUAUUUUGAGACGGUCUUUUUGUUAUUAUUGUUUUGGUAUUGGGUAUUGAACCCAGGGUGCUUUACCACUGAGCCAGAUACUCGGCCCUUUUUAUUUUGAGACAGGGUCUCUCUAAGUUGGUGAGGCUGGCCUGAAGCUUGCACUCUUCAUGCCUCAGCCUCUGAGUCACUGGGAUUAUAGAUGUAUGCAACCAUGUCUGACUCUUCCCCAUCUCUAUUUAAGAUUAAGCAUAAGGGCUGAGAUUGUGGCUCAAUGAUAGAGCACUUGCCUGGCAUGUGUGAGGCACUGGGUUCUAUUCUCAGCAUCAAUAUACCAGUAAAUAAAUAAAAUUAAAAAAUUGAUGGGCUGGGGCUGUGGCUCAAGCAGUGGCGUGCUCGGCUGUCAUGCGUGCGGCCCGGGUUCGAUCCUCAGCACCACAUACAAAAAAACAAAGAUGUUGUGUCCGCCGAUAACUAAAAAAUAAAUAUUAAAAAAAUCCUCUCUCUCUCCCCCCCCCCCACUUUCUCUUAAAAAAAAAAUUGAUCAACAAUGAAUAAAAAUGUAAAAAAAAAAAAAAGACUAAGCAUAAUAUUGCUUCUUAUGGUUGGCCCCCAAAGUAAGUGAUUAAAAGAAAAAGUUAAAAAAAAAAAAAGUUUAUUUGAAAAAUCAAUCAUGGUCAGGAUUGGUGGCACACACUUGUUAGCCCAGUGAUGUAGGAGGCUGAGGUAGGAGGAUCACAAGUUCAAAGCCAAAGCCAGUCUCAGCAACUUAGUGAAGCCCUAAGCAACUUAGCAAGAACCUGUCCUAAAAUUUAAAAAACUGGGUGGUGAUGUGGCUCAGUGGUAAAGUGCACCUGGGUUCAAUUCCUGGCACACCCCCCCCCCCAAAAAAAAAAAAUUAAUCAUGUCAUUAUAUACAGUAUAGAUAAUAUCUACAGUGUAAUAAUUAUCUACAAUGUAGAUGACAAUAUCUAACAGAAUACAACUUAUAAUAGCUUAAAGUUUGAGAAACCUUUAUGUUUGCCUUUCAAAGGCUUUUUAAAAAAAAUCCAUGAUUAAGCCAGAUGUGAUAGUGUAAGCCUGUAAUCCCAGUUUCUUGGGAGGUGAGGCAGGAUUACAAGUUCAAGAUUAGCCUUGGCAAUUUAUCGAGACCUGGUCUCAAAAUAAAAAAAAUUAAAGGGAGUUGAGAGUGUAAUUCAUUGGUGGAGUGUUCACCUCUCAUUUGUGAGUCCCUGGGAUAAAUUCCCAGUGUUGGAAAAAAAUGUAUCUACCUCUUCUGGUUGGAUGGUUCAGCCUACCUUGAAUCAUACCAGGUGAAUUUUAAAUGCCUUUUUGGUGCAAAUCUUCUGAUUUGAGUUCUUUGGGAAAUUAUAUGGGGAUGAAGCUUUUAGCCAUAGUGUAAUUUUAUCAACUUAUAGAAAUCAAAUCAACAAAUUUAUCAAAUUGUUUGCUAUUACUAGGCAUUGUACUGACGGCAUUAGUAUCCAGUUCUUUUUAAGUGGAAAUAAGAAUCAUUUUAAGAAGUAGAAAAGACAACCCCUUUUACACUGAUGUUUGUUGAUAGGUGGCAAUAGUUCUUCGAAGACUGAGGGAGCUACAGCUUCAGGAAGUGGCUUUGCGACAAGAAAAUAAGCGUCCUAGCCCACGGAAACUGUCUUCCGAGCCCCUUUUGCCUCUGGAUGAGGAAGCUGUGGACAUGGACUAUGGUGAUAUGGCAGUAGAUGUAGUGGAUGGAGAACAAGAAGAAGCUUCUGGAGACAUGGAGAUCUCCUUUCAUCUUGAUUCAGGCCAUAAGACCAGUAGUAGAGUAAAUUCAGCAACCAAACCUGAGGAAGGAGGAUUGAAGAAAAACAAGACAGCAAAACAGGGUGACAGAGAGAGCUUUAGGAAAGCCAAACAAAAGUUGGGUUUCUCAUCUUCUGAUCCAGAUCGCAUGUUUGUUGAGCUAUCUAACAGCAGCUGGUCAGAAAUGUCCCCCUGGGUGAUUGGCACCAAUUAUACCCUAUAUCCUAUGACUCCCGCUAUUGAGCAGCGACUCAUUCUCCAAUAUUUGACCCCUCUAGGAGAAUACCAGGAGGUAAGCUUAUUGGGAAGUGUAUUGUUCACACUUUGGGACUAUAUAUUUCUGGGUUAUUUAGUAGCACUUUAUACAUUUUUAUGUUUCUUAACUCUACUAAAGAAGAAAGAGGCUUUGUCCCAAACUGGUAAGGUCUUGUGUAGGUCACUUCUGGUAAAAUUUUUUCUUUCAAACUAUGGUCCUAUGUUUAUUCUUGAUGAGGAAGUAGAGGAAGAGGUGCUUAUUUCUUCUUUAUUCAAUGUGAAAAAUAAAGCCAGAAUUUAAGAUUUAUUUUUGGUCUUCCAUUUCAGUUACUUCCCAUAUUCAUGCAGCUUGGAUCACGGGAGUUGAUGAUGUUCUAUAUUGACUUGAAACAGACUAAUGAUGUCUUGCUUACAUUUGAGGCCCUCAAGGUAAAGUUGUUAUAAAUACUAGGGCACUGAGCAUUUUAUUGGUAGAAACUUUUUAUAUUUAUUCUGCUUUAUAGAGUGGGUACAGUGGGUACUGUUGUCAAGCCCCCUGCUAUUUGCAUUGUAUUCCCAGCCCUUAAACUUGUCUGCCCAGAGAGGCUAGUGGGAUUUGAACAGUAAAUGAAGAAAACUUAAAAUAUAAAAAGCUUUUCAGUUCUUUUAAAAUCUAUUCUUAUUAGUUGUAAAAAUUUCCAGUUUUGAUACUUAGGAUAGUUCUUUGGGAAUAUAUUGAGGGUCAAUUUAAAGAAGCUAAGUUCAGGACUUUAUUAAUUGAGUCAAUACUGAAUCAAAGCUAGAACACAGAACCAAUUAUAUUAAAAUAACUUAAGGGGGGGCUGGGAUGUGGCUCAAGCGGUAGCGCGCUCGCCUGGCAUGCGUGCGGCCCGGGUUCGAUCCUCAGCACCACAUACAAACAGGGAUGUUGUGUCCGCCAAAUACUAAAAAAUAAAUAUUAAAAAAUUCUCUCUCUCUCUACCUCUAUCUCUCUCACUCUCUCUUUAAAAAAAAAUAAAUAAAUAAAUAAAUAAAAUAACUUAAGGGGAAGGUUAGCAAAAGUCCUUUAGAGAGGUAUGCACAAAUAAAAUGACUUUAUAAGAUUGUAUUGUUAUUCAGCAAUAUUUUUCUUUUUUUUUGUUUUUUUGGUACUAGGGAUUGAAUAUAGGAAUACUUUACCACUAAACUAUAUCUUCAGCCCUUCUUAUUUUUUAUUUUGAGACAGGUUCUCGAUAAGUUGGUGUGGGUCUUGAUAGGAUGCUGAGCCUGGCUUCAGCCUCCUGAGUUGCUGGGAUAACUGGAGUGUACCACCACACCUGGCUUAUUGUUUUUAAUUUCACAAAAACAUUUUAGUGGACUGGGGUUGUUGCUCAGUGGUUUUGGAAGGAUUUGGGUUCAAUCUCCAGCACAAAACAAAUAAACAGACAAACCAUUUAAAAGAAACUUUGGUAUUAGGAGGGCAGAGAGUAAUGUCUUGAAAUCUUAAGGUUUUUUUUUUUUUAUUUUUGUUUUUUUCAUUUCUGUUAAUAUUGGCUUUUCUUUUUUUUUUGUGAGAAAGUGGUUGUCUACUUAGAGAAGUCUUGUAUUUAGCACUUUAAUCUUACUUUGAUGUUCAUAGAUUUUUGUGAUUCUUUAAGAUUGUUCCAUGAUAACAUGUGUCUUUGUUGUUCAGCAUCUGGCAUCUCUCCUGCUCCAUAACAAAUUUGCCACAGAAUUUGUUGCCCAUGGUGGAGUACAGAAAUUACUGGAAAUUCCUCGUCCUUCUAUGGCAGCAACUGGUGUAUCCAUGUGCUUGUAUUACCUGUCCUAUAACCAGGAUGCUAUGGAAAGAGUAAGUCCAUUCAGGUUUAUGAGAAAGGGAUUGGGUGGGGACAGACUUUAAAAGAGCACAUUGAGCUAGGCAUGGUAGCACCCUGCUAUAAUAGAAGCCAGCUGGGAGACUAAGACAGAAGGAUAGAAAGUUUGAGGCCAGGCUCAGCAGCUGAGAGAGGCCCUGUCUAAAAAUACAAAAUAAAAAGGGCUAGGGAUAUGAUUCAGUAGUAGAGCACUCCUGGGUUCAAUCUCUAGUACUAAAUAAAUAAGAUAAUCAUAGAAUAACUUGGAUGAGGAAAAAAUGAAUAGUUGUAGAACUAAAUUCUAACGAAAAAUUGCAAGGAAUAUGAACAACCACUUUUCACAAAGCAUUUUAUAAAAGUAAAAUUGUUUAGGAAAGGUUCUAAAAAAUUUCUGACUCUACUUGGAAAAUGCAGGAUGGGUUGCAGUUCUAGAAGCUUUAUUUAUUUUUUGCCAUUUCUGUGGCAUUAAAAUUAGGCACUAUUCCGAUGUUCCUCAGUAACUCCACUGAGGAACUGUUUGAAUCCGUUUAUUGCAAAAAUGAUAGAUGAUAUUUUGUGUUUAUUAUGAGAUAAUUUAUGGUGGAGAUAGUGAAAUCAUCCCAGCUCUUCUCAGGGCUAUAGUUGUUUUGUGUUUGGUUCUGCUGCUUUUCAGGUUAAUCCUCUUUUAUGCUUAGUGAUUUAAAAAAAAAAAAAAAGUAUGAGUGGUGUUGGACAUUUGAAAAGUGAAUCUCCCCCAACCCCGAACCCUUAGGGAAGGUCUUGUCAUUUCUGAAAUGUUUUUCUAAUACUCAGUGGGCAUAUCUAUUCUGCUAAAGCAAAACUGGCAAUUUUUUUUUUAAAUUGAGCUCUGUCUUUGCUUAUUCAGAUAAUCAUCUGGGUUUGGUGUCAAACAAGUUUAUAAUCCUAGCUACGUGGGAGGCCGAGGCAGGAGGAUUGCAAGUUUGAGGCUAGCCUGGGCAAUUUAGCAAGACUUUGUCUUGAAAUAAAUGUAAAAAAAGGAUUGGGGAUGUAGCUCAGUCUUAGAGUCCUUGCCUAGUAAGUGUGAAGCCCUGGGUUUGAUCUCCAGUACAGCCAAAAAAAAAAAUUUCCCCUCUUCAGUUGAACAUUAUGCAAGGAGAUUGAGAAUAGUAAACUAAGCUGUGUAUAACAAAAUUAAUUAUAGUUAAGAUAUAGAAAAAGGCAACAGACCUGGGGAAUGCUUUGUCUAACUCAUAGCAUACAUCAAAAUGCAUAUAAAUAAAUUAAUGAGUCAAUGGAAACUAAACUUGUAGACUUCGUAGGCUCAUCUACUUUUAUCACCUCAGGAAGGGUGAUAAUUUCUCUGAGCCUCUUCCUCAUCUGUUAAGUGGAGAUCAAGUAUCUAUGUAACAGGGCCAUGUGAGCAUUAAAUGAUAACAUUUGUUGGUACUCAGUAUAGGAUAAAUUAGAAUAACUAAAUUUAGGUAGUUUUCAAAGGAUGUGUUCUAAAAUUGCAUUGUAACUUAAACUAAGAAUGAUGACUGGGAAAGAUUAUUAUUUUCUGUAAAGAUAUUUAUACUGAUGAAUUUUUCAUCUCUUUCAAAGAGUCCUUUGCCCACAAUUUUUUUUAAAAAAAACUAUUAUUAUUUUAUUUUUUGCAGGUUUGCAUGCAUCCCCACAAUGUUUUGUCUGAUGUGGUGAACUAUACCCUGUGGUUAAUGGAGUGUUCUCAUGCCUCAGGAUGCUGCCAUGCUACCAUGUUUUUCUCAAUUUGCUUCUCAUUCCGGGCUGUGUUGGAACUCUUUGACCGCUAUGAUGGUCUUCGUCGUCUGGUGAACUUGGUAAGCAUUUUUUACCUUCUCUUGGCAGGAGUGCAGAGAUCCUGCUUGUUUUGGCUGCUUUUAAUAGCAUCCCAAUGAGGAGAGGAAGCUUCUGAUUGGAGGAGUUUUGUUAUCAUUCUUUGUGUACAUUUUUUUCUCCUUCUUUUGUGGUACUGAGGAUUGAAGCCAGAGCCUCAAGCAUGCUAUAGAAGGUGGGUGCUGGAGAUUGAACCCAGGGUGUCACACAGGCUCUGCCUCUGAACAACAUCCCCAGCCCCAUUCCCUUUCUCUUUAAUAGUUGGAGGACUCUUUGUGCCAUUAUAGACUGGCUUUGAAUGCAGUAAUCCUAUGUCAAUCUUGACCUUUCUAAGAGCAAAAGCUUUAUGCCUAUAUAUCUUUUAACAUAAUUAAAAGCUGCGUAAUUUUUUUUAUGUGAGUAUAAUGUUUUGUUUUCAUAUGGCUAUAGCCUGUUGUAUAUGUAGAUUUACUUUGAUAUUUGUUCAUCUUUUAGGCAUAAAAGUCUACCUUGUUUUGGGGGCUGGGGUUGUGGCUCAGUGGUAGAGUGCUUGGCUCACAUGUGUGAAGCACUGGGUUCAAUUCUCCGAACCUCAUAUAAAUAAAUGAAUAAAAUAAAGGUCCGCCAACACUAAAAAAUAUUUUUAAAAAAGUCUACCUUGUUUUCCUUUUACAUUUCUUGUCCUUUCUCCUCCUUCUGCCUCAAUUUUUAAUGUUUAUUAAUAGAUCAGUACUUUGGAGAUUCUAAAUUUGGAAGAUCAGGGUGCACUUCUGAGUGAUGAUGAAAUAUUUGCUAGCCGUCAAACUGGGAAACAUACCUGCAUGGCCUUGCGCAAGUAUUUUGAGGCUCACCUGGCCAUUAAAUUGGAACAAGUGAAACAGUCACUUCAGAGAACUGAGGGUGGCAUUCUUGUUCACCCUCAACCCCCAUACAAGGUAAGAGGUUGUAUUCUGUUUUUGUGUUAUUGGGGAUUGAAUCCAGGACCUUGUGCUUACUAGGAAAACUGAGUUACACCCAGUCCAAGGAUAUAGUUUUUAAAGAUUACUCUUGUUCCCACACACAGUUGCAUCACCAGAUCAGUGGAAUUUCUGUAAGAUAAUGCAUUGUUGAAUUUUACUUUCCCUGUAUGAAGCAAAACAAUUGAAAAUAUAUAUAAUAGGUGAAUUUCAGUGGCAUAUUUUGCUGUCAGUUACUAAGUCAUUAUUUUUCUGGGACACUAAAACUAAAGGGUGAACUUAAAUGUGUGUUAAGGAGCUCGUAAUUUUUGUUUACUGAUUUUUUUUUUGUUGUUGUUGUUUUGUUUUGUACUGGGGAUUGAAUCCAGGGUCUUGAGCAAGUGCUGUACUAGUGAGUUAUAUCCCCAGCCCUUUAAAGAGUUUUCUUCUCUGAAAAGUACUAGACAUUCUGCCUCUUGUGCAGAAUUAUUUUUGGAAAGAGUAUGUCUAUAUCUCUACUUUUCUUUCAUUUUGGAAUUUAUUUGUUAUAUUUUGGGACCAAGAUCAGUAUUUGCAUGUUUUAAAAAUCAGCAGAUUGAAAAUAUAUCAAUUCCCUGUUGCUUCUUUCUCUCUCUUUUUUUUUGGGGUGGGGUACUAGGGAUUGAACCCAGGGGCCUUUUGCUGCUCAGCUACUUACUGUGAGUCUCUUAUUUUGAGACAGGGUCUUGAUAAGAUGCUGAGGAUUUUGCUAAGUUGCUGAGACUGGCUUUGAUCUUGUGAUCUUUCUGCCUCAGCCUCUUGAGUCACUGGGAUUACAGGCAUGUACCACCAUGCCCAUCUUAUUUUUUAAGCUAUGAAACAUAUGUACAAAAUAACAUUGUUAUUUUAUUGGGAAAAAUGUGAGUCUGUAGUUAAAAAUAAACAAAUGUGGUCUGGGGUUGUGGCUCAGUGGUAAAGCACUUGCCUUGAAUUUUGAGGCACUGGGUUCGAUUCUCAACACCACAUGUAAAUAAAAAAUAAAGGUCCAUCAACAACUAAAAUAAAUAAAAUAAAAAAAAGUUAUGUAAUCAUUGUUUCACAUAUUGGCUAUUGACUCAAGAAUUAUGGUAUUGGAAAGCUAUUAUCAAAAUCUGUUGGUCACUGAGCUGUGCUUCAGAAGAUGACAGGCAGAUAAUAGAGUAUAUAUAAAAAUAACAUGUAUGUCUCCUUAUAGGCAUGUUCAUAUACUCAUGAACAGAUUGUGGAAAUGAUGGAGUUUUUGAUAGAAUAUGGCCCAGCUCAGCUAUACUGGGAACCAGCUGAAGUCUUCCUCAAACUUUCUUGUGUGCAACUCUUGUUACAGCUUAUUUCUAUUGCCUGCAAUUGGAAGACCUAUUAUGCAAGGUGGGACCAGAGAAAGGUUUCAAAUGAAGU
rnacentral:lncRNA from 1 species